AUUGAACGCUGGCGGCAUGCUCUACACAUGCAAGUCGAACGGUAACAGGUCUUCGGAUGCUGACGAGUGGCGAACGGGUGAGUAAUGCAUCGGAACGUGCCCAGUCGUGGGGGAUAACGCAGCGAAAGCUGUGCUAAUACCGCAUACGAUCUAUGGAUGAAAGCGGGGGAUCGCAAGACCUCGCGCGAUUGGAGCGGCCGAUGUCAGAUUAGCUAGUUGGUGGGGUAAAGGCCCACCAAGGCGACGAUCUGUAGCUGGUCUGAGAGGACGACCAGCCACACUGGGACUGAGACACGGCCCAGACUCCUACGGGAGGCAGCAGUGGGGAAUUUUGGACAAUGGACGCAAGCCUGAUCCAGCAAUGCCGCGUGCAGGAAGAAGGCCUUCGGGUUGUAAC
rnacentral:rRNA from 1 species